AUGGCCGGAAACGACCGCCUGUCCGCUCUCUCCAACGAUCUCCUCCGGCGCGUUCUCUACUUCGCACCAGCCAAGGAGGCCGCGUCCACGGCCGCGCUCUCGAGCCGCUGGCGAGAGACGCCGCUCUGGCCCUCCUCGGGCGCCGUAAACCUCGAGAUGCGCGUCGGGAACUACGACUACUGCAGCUACGAAAGUCAAAGAAAGCUCAAAGAAGACAGGGCCCUCUUCUUCUCCCGCCGCGACGCCUUCCUCUCCGCGGCCGUGCAGGCGCUCCACGCCGCUGUGCAGGUCACCAGGCCGACCCUGCGCCUGGAGCCCGACUGCAAACACGACGACCCGUUCAGCCAAUUCAUGUGCUAUGAUGAGAACUGGGGGUGGCCGCAGGGCGACAACGCGAUCACCGUCUUGCUCUCCCGGCGCGCCGGGUCGAGGAGCUCAGGCUCGUGGCUAAUGGCUACCAAAGGAUACUAUCCCACCACAGCGAGAUCUCAGGUCACGUGGGCGCCUACACGCUCGCCCUGGAUUCUCUUCCGUGGGAGACCCUCCGUGUGCUGUUACCAGCUGCUCGGGCCUCUAUCAGCGGAAGAGAGCCGCGGUCGUGCUCCCACGCCUGACCUCGCUACGACUGGGGCAUUGCUCUCAGUGUUAGCCCAAAACUACGGACUAGCCAGUGCCAGACUAAGGAAAGGGCAGAAUAUCUGGACGAGGAACACUAGCACGAACACUACCAAAACACACACUCACGUACUAGUGAGGAGACACGGUGGUGUACUACUAGUGGAAGCUGAAUGA
rnacentral:rRNA from 1 species